rnacentral:lncRNA from 1 species
CCCACACCUGGAGGAUCUCCAGCCCAGCACACAGAUCUACGCACAGGCUGUGAGAGGAGCAACUGGUACAGCCCCCACCAAUGAAAUGAGUGACAUUUAGCAUAUGCUGAGUCUACAAUACUCACACGUGAUAGGCCGGGGGUCAUGCCUUAAACAACAGCAGAGGGAGGUACUGGACCAGACAGCCUUAAACAACAGCAGAGGGGGGUACUGGACCAGACAGCCUUAAACAACAACAGAGGGAGGUACUGGACCAGACACCCUUAAACAACAGCAGAGGGAGGUACUGGACCAGACAGCCUUAAACAACAGCAGAGGGAGGUACUGGACCAGACAGCCUUAAACAACAGCAGAGGGAGGUACUGGACCAGACAGCCUUAAACAACAGCAGAGGGAGGUACUGGACCAGACAGCCUUAAACAACAGCAGAGGGAGGUACUGGACCAGACAGCCUUAAACAAUAGCAGAGGGAGGUACUGGACCAGACAGCCUUAAACAAUAGCAGAGGCAAGUACCGGACCAGACAGCCUACACAUUAAACAACAACAAACACAGACAGCCUUAAACAACAGCAGAGGGAGGUACUGGACCAGACAGCCUUAAACAACAGCAGAGGCAGGUACUGGACCAGACAGCCUUAAACAAUAGCAGAGGGAGGUACUGGACCAGACAGCCUUAAACAAUAGCAGAGGCAAGUACCGGACCAGACAGCCUACACAUUAAACAACAACAAACACCAAAGCAUACAAUUUUAUAGAAACACGAAGGUGUUUAUACAGUUGAAAUAUGUAAGCCCAAAUGAAGGUCCAGGAACAAGUUGAACUAGUUGGGUCAUAGACAAGUGGUGCGCGGGUCAGCUGUCAGUUCACCUAUACCUGCUCACAAUUGCUAAUAUCCCAUAUGCACCAUCCUGAUUUUACAUGAUGAAGUGAAAAUAUGAGGCCUGCACCCGACCCUAACCUGCUAAUAUAGAAAAUGUACUGUAUUAGCUACAGUCAGAGACAGCGCAACGUUUUUUGACAGGGGGUACAGGAUUUUUUUUGCCUGAUUUAGAUAUGUUUCUGCUUAUAAUUUCCAACAUAUUGAUAGGAUAUUUGUUAGACAACCUUGAUACAUGCAGCAUCUCUUCUAUAAUUAUGUUGCCCUAGAAUACUAAAUAAACCCUUGCUCACCAGCAUAAUGUCAGAAAUCAACAGAAUGAAUGCUUUAAUCUAGUUGACAUUGGUCCAGUUCUCUGUCAUCUCUGUUUCUUUCAAGGAGCAAAGACAUUUAAGGACCAAGGAGAAAUUGCAAUAACUCUCCCUCCAAAAACAGGAAAGUGCAAAAUGUCCAAAUUACAUCAGUUUGGCCGGUUGUAAGGAAAUAAAAGCUGUGAAAACAACCAAACAUGUUUCUGAUAACAUUUCAGUUUGGCUUGGAUGUAUAUUUCAUGUGGUUGUAGUAAUAUCAGCUUUUAUUAUGCUGGUAAAGACAGCACUGCUACUGACGGUAUCUAACUGUGGAUUCAUUCUCUCAAGAUGCUGAAAUAAUAAAUCAUAUUUCUCCUCUCUGGUUCCCUAGUCAAAAUGUUGUCUGCAUUUGGUGUAUCAUUUUACUGCAGGAUUUAAUAUUAAGGUUAUGUGAGAGGUUC